AGAGACAUCUAACCGAUAGAACAUCUCGGCGUUCUAUUGAACGUUUUCUGUUCGAAAACAACAACAACAAACUUGACAGAUUUUUGAGACCUGAGACUGAAAGAUCGACUGGAAAAUGCCUGGGUGCUUUUCAAAAUUGGUGGGGAGAGUGCGUGGACGUCGGCGGUCUACUGCGUCGACAGGUUGUUCAAAUUCAUUUGUGGAUUGUUUUUGUCUUUUUCCGUUUUGCAGGGUUCGCAAUCGUCGGGAGGUGGACAGCGACAUCGACUUCGAAGAGGAAUCAACUGUCCUGGAUGAGGUCCAGUUGGUUGUGCCAUUGGAUGAUGUGCCGGAUGUACCACUGCUGCCAGCCAUCCUUGAGGAGGUGCCAGAUGUGCCGACUAUCCUUGAGGAGGCCACUGGUAAUUGGCAGUUGAUACCGAUUAGGUUUAGCU